GGGUCACGUAGGUUGGUCGUGCCACCGGUACGUACUGGUCUCACUGAUUCCUCCUUCCUGAAGAACCGUAAUGCCAUUAAUUUGGUGUUGCGGGGAAACAGGACUGUUACUUUGAAAAAAUUAGAGUGUUUAAAGCAAGCUAACGCUUGAAUACAUUAGCAUGGAAUAAUGAAAUAGGACGAUCGAUCCUAUUUUGUUGGUUUCUAGGAUUGACGUAAUGAUUAAUAGGGAUAGUUG
rnacentral:rRNA from 1 species